AUCCAGUGACGAAAAGCAGCAUAACGCAGCAAUACAAGCGAGUAGACAAGUUCUGCUGCGACGACAGCUGUGGGGAAAGUCCCCGGACCUACGCACGCCGGAGAGCACGUCUUUUGACGAUGGUGUGGUGGGGAGUGGGGUGAUGGCUCCUGUGAUCUGCAGUGGGAGACACACCAAACACUCCCGAUGAAAGGCAGAAAGCAUUCACUCACCAGCGAAGACAAGAGCUGUGUGUUUGCAGUCUGUCAUUAGAUAGUCAACUAUCAAAGGUAUUUUGCUGGUCAUUUCAAUGGCAACAGAAUGGGGCUUACUUUUGGUCAGUACUGGA
rnacentral:RNase_MRP_RNA from 2 species